GUGAGCAUAGCUGCCUUCCAAGCAGUUGACCCGGGUUCGAUUCCCGGCCAACGCAGCGAUUUCUUUUUUUUUUUACUCCUGACUUUUGGUGGUCGGGUAAAGCCCCACAGCACAGGACAAAGCAAAAAAGGCCAUUGACCACCAGUAGGUCCCGAGUCCGCGGCCUGGUAGAUGAAGUAUCUCCCAAGAGUAACUCUUGGUGUUGUCUGUGGCUCCACAUGCAAGGCAAGUGUGAGCGUGUCCGCUGCGAUCCACCGCUGCACUCACAGCGACUUAGGGUAAUUCUCUUCUUGGGAAGUGUCUAGAGGCUGGCUCGGUUUGUUUUUUGAAUCUUCAGGGGCGGUUUCGAGGAAGCAGGCUAAGUCAGCAGCAAAAACGCCCUUGGUUUCUGAAAACUGGAGGGGGAGAAAGAAACCCUGUGCUCAAGCAGUUCCUCGCGGUCCACGCCGUACGUCGCUCGCCGCUCCUUUCCGGGUCCGCCAUUCUGGAAACUUAAACCGAGCUUCCAGAGCACAGGCUGGAGGUGUAAACAGGAAAAUCCUUGGUGCGGCCUCUUGAACUCCAGAGCAGGACGGUCUAAUUCUUUGGAGGGGCAAAAGGAGGGUGACUGGGCGCGCGGCCCCGGCCUACAGCUGCCUCUUUGUGUCCAGGACCUGACGCGAAGGAUUCCGGAUUCCAGGUCUUCUACGCGGGAGGGGUGUCGGGGCCUCUGUGUCGCGCAGUAGAGACAGAGCCGCGCAGAGCCGACCUAUUUCAAAAUGCAUUAAAUUGAACCUCCCCUCAUUACUUUGCAGGUGGCUCGCCGUGAUCGUAUAGUGGUUAGUACUCUGCGUUGUGGCCGCAGCAACCUCGGUUCGAAUCCGAGUCACGGCAUAAGAGUUGGUUUUUUUUUUUUUUUUUUUUUUUUCCUUGUAAGGCUCGGUUUACUUCCGUUUAAACUUUAGGUUUUAAAAAAUUAGGGCCUCCAACAUGUUGCCCGACCCGGCACCUCCUCAGACGUUAGAAAACCAAGAGCCCAGAGCAUGAAGUGAGAGCUGCCUCCUGCGAGGCCAGCGCCCGAGACUCGGAACCCUGCGGGCUUUCAUUGCGGUGGAACCCGUGCACUUGACGACCUUGGCCUUUUGCGCAGGCAACUGAGACUUUGAGUACUUAAAAGCAAACUUGUGUCCCAGAGUAGUGAACAAGGGCCUGUUUUACCUCACACACGCCCGCUACCCUACCCCACCCCCAUCCACCCCAUCUUGGUUUAGACAGGCAACGGGUUGUGGAGCCUGAAGGAAGCACCGGUUGCAGCCGCCCAGCACGAUUCUCCCGCGCGCCUGCUUCCCUCCGGCCUCAUUCAGGUCUCCUCGCGCCCUUUCGCUUCUCCUUCAGCUCCGGGCGGAAACCCGCCAUCAGAGUGACCUGGUCCAGGAAGAAUGUGAGGAAAUGGCAAGGUUUGUGACUUGGCGCUGGCACUUGGCCCUGCCCAGUCUUUGUCAAGCCUCGGGGUCAGGGGUUAAAAACUAUCACUGAAAGGCUAGUGCGGCCACUAAAUCCCACAACAUAAAAUUACGUCAAAUAGUGUCAACUAGAGAAGCAGAUAAACAAUUAGGGGGAAAAGCGUGCCAGCGCCCGGCUAGCUCAGUCGGUAGAGCAUGAGACUCUUAAUCUCAGGGUCGUGGGUUCGAGCCCCACGUUGGGCGGGUGUUUUUUUUUUUCCCUCUCCACUCUAAUCGAAAUGUAUUAAGUCCUUACUCACAGAAGAGGACAAACAAAAUCACGAGCUUCUAAAUCCCCGCUGCAGCCAUAAUUUCAAAUUUGGGGAAAUGAUUUCAGAGGCGGCGGCAGCUACUGCAUCUUCUUUUCCUCCUGCUCGUGCUCCUCUUCUGCUGCUUUUUUUUUUUUUUUUUUUAAACACAAAUUCAUAAAAAGCAAAACAAAACAGGAAUCUGAACGUUGAGUACCAGCAUCCGUGAAGACCAGAGGCUCUGGCAAGAUCUCCGACUCCUCCUGGGGAGGUGGUGGGAUGAGCCGUGCCUCUGAGCCAGUAAUUUCCCGGCUUCUUUCAUCCCACCUCGCUGAUGCAUAAAGACGACUUAAAAUGCAAACACUCGUUUUCUUCUCCUUGAAGUGCAACAUCAAAAGUUCUAUGGCAACCUCUUUGCAAGAUUACAGAAGGAUAUUCACUGUCAAAGAGAAGACAUGAACAGAUAGAAGACCACUGAUGCAUGAAGCAGAUGCUCUCAAAAGAGAGCCAAUGACCUCUCAGUGCAGGGAUGAAAAGACAUAGCAUGACAUCAGCUAUGGGAUAGGCCCAAAGAUGAAGACCAGGCAGGAGCAAAGAUUUAUUGGGUAGAUAAGGAAAUGUAUGUGUUUUGAAUGUGUUGAGGGGAGAUUUACAAAACUGAGGAAAAACUGAUAUUAGUUCAACAAUAAAUACAUGGAAAACGAAGCAAAUGCAAUAAUAACAUUAUUGCAAAUAAACAUUACUGUACAAAGCCAA